GGACAAUGUGCUUUCUCAAGUCUUUUCCAAUUCCACACCCCAUGACUGUGGAAAAGCAGAACAUCCAGGUAGUUGACAUGCCACAUUUUUAUGAUAGGGAGGUCCUUUCCUUCCACCCCAGAUCUUUCACUCUAUGUUUCUCUACAUCUUCGAAACCCAAGCAAUAGUCAAGUCCUAAUCGUGCCAUCAGCAGGACUCACUUAAACAAGAUGGAAGAGAAAGACAAAAAUUCUCCUUAAUCCCAGUUGAUAUGUGACUUUGCUUAGCACUUUGAAUAUUAUUAAGUGUUUGAAUUUCUUCCUGUGUCUUUUUCACCGAGAUGACUGUCUUUCUGUUUCGUUGACAGCCUCUGCAGGACCAAAUUGACAGCUCUUUAAAGGCGGCUGACGAAAAGCAGCAUUAAUUAAGUCAUUGCCGGACUGUAAUUGUGUUAAGAAGUAAAAAUCUAAUACGAGAAAAGAGUCAUUUACUGAGGACCCAAUGGCUUGUGUCCUGUGACGGAUGGAAGCUGGAGGCUUGCAAAUACCAACCAGCAAGGACCAAGAGCUGAGUCCUCAUCCUCAAGGUUGUGUGAAUCAUUUUCAAAGCCUUUGCUCUGUUCCCGCACUAUCAUCUGCAUAUUUUAUGAAAUGGCACGGUUGAGUCUCGGAGGGCUCUUGAUAAAAAUGGAACUGGCAGCCUGCUCAUUAGCUGUUUACCUGGAGCUGUGUGAGCCCCCGAUAAUGGCGAGCUCCCAUUUGGAUUCGAAUUAGGAUUCUCUGACGAAUCACCACCAGCAGCUUUCUCCAGGACGUCCGCUCCUCCUCCGGUGCCUCUCUCUCCCCAUCGCAGAGAGUUUCCAGGAAACUUGCUUUUGGGGGCUGUCCUAGGGAACGUUACACCCUGGCAUCUGAGGCAGUUUAAUUUUUGAAGCGGAGACACAGAAGCUUUAGCAAAUUAGCACCUCUAAGGAUGGCAAAAUUCCCCUGAAAGGACACAUUCUGAAGGUCUGGUUGGUUGACCUUCCAGAGCUUUACAGAUGCCAGAAGUCAAUUCCCUGCUAUAACGAGGUGACCAGUUGUCCCACUUUGCCUGGGACUGCAGAUCCCCAGAGCAUGAAACUUACCAUUUUGAAAUCAGGAAAGUUCCAGGCAGUUGAAGAUGGGUUGGUCACCUUCGCUGUAACUCACUUGAGGGCUUGUAUCAUGUUGUCAGUCUCUGAAGUAGAUGGGAAGAUCUUCAGUGGCUUUUACAAACGGGCUGAGCCACUUCUGUGAUUUACCAAGAGGACUUAGAGAAGAGCACAGGCCAUAGCCCUGUGGUCUUACAAGGUUGGCUUGAAAACCAGAACUGUUUUGAUGGACUUAUAGCUUGCACUUAAAAAUCAGGAAAUUCGUAUGUAAAAAUGCAGGAUUUCUGCCUCUCUUUGAAAACCAAAGACAUGGCUCUGCGAUGUGCCCAUUCUUUUUAGAAAUGAUUGAUCAGUUGGAGCCAAACAGGGACUAUCCCUUUAUAUGGGGCAUCCGCUUUCCGGUUUUAUAACCCUCCCUUUAUUGCCCCCAGCUGGAUCCAUUCAUUCUGUGUACCUAUUUGGUUUCAGUUUGCAUCUGAUUUUGUGCUUCUGGAUAGAAGUUGAGAGCACUGGCUUUGCAGUAAGAUUCAAGUCUCAGUUCUAUUAUCUUUUAGCUGCCUGACCUUGGCCAAGAUAAACAAACACACUUGGUCUCAGUUCUCUCACCUGUAACUUGAGAAUAAUAAAAGUAUACUAGUAUAGCAAUAUCUUAUUAUAAAUAUUACAUUAAGUAAGAUAUGUACAUUGAAGAAAUGCAUAUAAAUGGCUUAGAAUGGGCCUGGAUAGUAAGUAUUCAUUAAAAGUGCUUGGUUUUUUUCUUCUUAUUAUUUUAUUAUUAUUACCUUUACAGAAAAAUGAACUGAAACCCAGAAUUCCCUGGUGAGCUACUUAAUAUAUAAAUAGACACUAUGUGAACACAAAGAAUAAAAGAAUAUUACUGGCAUUAAAAUAUUUUGUAUUUUAUAAUGUAUCUUGGAACCAAAUAUUGAGGUAUACUCAAAGCAAUUCCAGGUGACCACCUGUGUAAUUAAUGAGGCAAUUGACAAAGCUACAGGAAACAAAACAUUCCGUUUUUUAUGUACAGAUAAUCUUGUCUUCCUUUUUGCAUUAGUAAAUCCUCCAACACCUUUUUGAAUUCCAUAAACCUAUACUUUUUAUACAGAGUGAAUUCCUUUGUAGUAGAAUCUGUUUCCUUAAGAUUUCCUCCUGCUGAAAUGAUUUUAUCCUAUAGCAGCCUUGUGUUACUGGGGAUUUUAUGGCCAGGCAAAAGUGAUAUACUAUUAAUACCUUGGAUUUACACAGCAAUUGUUCUUUUGAAUAGUGCAGAGGUACUAGACGAUUCUCAAAUAUAUGGUAUUUGAUAUUAAUGAGGAAGAUGUUAUACCACAGGAAACAAUUGUUUAUUUUUUUAAUGUUUCCCCCUUCUCUUUUAAAACAGACUCCUGUAACACUACAUGCUCAGAGUUUUUCUAAGGAGAUAUUUGGGAAGCGCUAUUGUUGCGUGAAAAGUAUUUUUGAUUCUGGGUCAUUGAAACCUGGAUUUGAAUCCCUGGUCCCUGAUGCUCUCUGGGCCUGGCACCCACAGAAUGCUUAUUUUUGAAGAGAGUUGAAUAAAGGGACUCUCUACAAAGCUGUGGACAGGAUCUAGGGAAUAUGCCAGGAAUAAUGGAGCACCUGAGGGGUGGUAACAGAGGGGCUCUUUCACUACCUUUACAACUGAAGGGGCAAGGGGAAGGAGAGAUGACCGGACUUAGGAGACAAAGGGCUGUGUGGAGAGGGCUGCCCUGUCACAAGAGGGUCCCAGUUGGCUUGUUAUGACCCCUUGGGGUGGGAUCAAGGGGGAAAAACAUGCUGAGAUCACACAGUCCUUCUUCCUUCUAAUUUCCUGGCAGAAUUCCCCGUUGGUCAAACCCAACCAGAAGCUUCAGAAAAAGGAACAUAAUCUUUGUGGGAGUUUGUACUGCUUACCCUCUCAGGACACAGAGAGCAUGCAGACAGUACAGGAGGAAAUGGAACAAACCCAAAGUCACCAGAUGUCUCUGAACAAGUUGUUCAACUUCUCUGAGACUCUCUCAGACUGAGUUUACUUCUUAGUAAAUAAAGCUACAUAAUACCUACCUCAGAGUGUUGUGAGAGAAUGAAAUGAGAUAAUACAUACAUUAUCUGGCACAGUCCCUUGGCACAUAGUAGGUCUUUCUGAGAAGCAUGAAACAGGUUAGUGCUUUGCCCAGGCCAUUUCAUCUUCAAGGCAACAUGAGUUGAGAAAGGCUUGGGUGCUAGAAGCUUUGUGAAAAUGUUUGAGCUCUGAAAAUUCAAGUCAUGAUUUCAAAAUAUAAAAUUAGUCUCAACAAUAGUCAAAUCUCUAAUUGAUUUUAUAUGAAGUAUAAUCAUAUGUCAACGAAUCUAACUUUAACCUACUCUUACUUAGUUCUAUAUAAUUAAAAAGUGGGAUGUGUUUGCUGUUAUGCUGGCACUUAUAAAGUUUUCAGUUCAUCUGUUUCACAUACUGGUUUUCCCUUGGAAGGUUAUGUUUAAAAAGCUCUCUGUAAAUUGUCAUCUCAAUGUUGUUGAGUGAAUAAAAUAGCCUAGCUCUAGCUAGAAGGAAUGUGAAAGAAAAUAUAGACUCAGCAAGAAAAUUUUUUAAAACUUGUGGUCUAUAGGUCAUACUCAGUCUUACGAUCCUUUCAUGUGUAAAUUUAAAUUUUGUAAAGAAUUUUUAAUUUAAAAAUUAGAAAUCAAAAUAUUUUAAAAAGAAAUCAACUUACUAUACUUCAUUGAUUGCAUAAAAAUACUUUUUCUGUCUAUAUUUUAACUUCUCAGAAAUAAAGAUGCAUCUUAAGCAAUGAUAUCUUAGACUUGAUGAGAUACAGUGGUGACUAGCAUUAAAACAUCAUGAGAUUUCAUGUAGAAACUGAUAUUUCCAGUUUCAAAAAGCUGGAUGGUCUCUCAGCCUUGGACCUGGCACUCAUACAGCCCCUGUGGUGGAAGGGCCUAGCUCUGAGCUCUUGAAAGAGGAUGAUGGCUCUCAGAGACACCUCAUCCUUACCCAUGUCUUCUCUGCUUUUUGGAAUUUGAGGAACCUCAUCUACCAGCCUCCAACUUGGGCUCUGGACCUGUAAGAAGCCCUUAUAGGAAGGAAUAGAGAUGCAUGGGCUGAUUUUAACAUUACAGUCCACUAAUGGGCGUUUUACCCAGGGUAAAUCAACAAAUCAAGUGUUGGUUCGCUUGAGUGUAAUAAUAGUGGUUCUCUCCUAAUCAGAAAGUUCUGAUUAGCAGUUGAUGAGCAAAUAGAAAUAGCAAUAAAAUAAGAGGUGAGGGGCAUGAGGUCCAUCAUGUAGUAAAUGGAGUGUGACAGAUAGGCAUGGAUCUCUUGGGAGGAGAGACAAAGGGGAAGGGAAAGGGAGUCCUUGGCAGUGGAAACAGAGGGAAAUGUCACUCCAGGGACAUUUAGUGACCUGUCCAGAAAAGCAAAUGGCUAACUAGGAAGUAGCAGUUCUCUAGACAUUCAGUCCAGUAUUCUUUGCUUUCAAACUUCAUUCUUUGCAGUCAAACUUAUUGAAAAAAUAUGUUCAAACUCUAUAGACAAACACUCUCUAACAAAAUGACUUUCGGAGAAGAGAUUUUCUCUCUUUCAUCUGGGUAUACACCAGCAAAAGACCUGAAUAAAAUCAACCCUGCUACAUUCUUCGUGUAGAAUAUUCCUAAAAUAUGUUUGAAGAUAUUAGGGGUUUUCCUCCCAGCAUUAUUAUUUCUCAUGGAAAAUCCUUUCUAUAUCCUAUUUUAGAUUAUGUGCUAUAAUAUACUUGGUAGAUUAUAGAUAACAUCUCUUUUUUUCUGAGAUUGCACAUUUGAAAAUUUGAGAUUACAAUAAACUCUGUGUGCGACAGUGACCAGAGACAUGGAGAUAAUGUAUGUGAAUAUUCUUUAAGCUCUUUGACUGAAAGACAUGUUACAAAUAUGAGCAAUUAUUCGAUACUAUAUUUGAAAAAAUAUAGAUCAUCCAAUCUUGCAAAUAAAAGAUAAUUCCACAGAUGAUGUUCUCUAUGUCACUUUUCUAAUCUUAAAUACUUGAAGUGAAGAAGCUUCCAGGCCUCCGCUUGUAUGACUGUUUCACAAUCUAAUUGAUCUCACUGUCUGAAUUGUCCUUUCUUAAUUUCUCUGCAUUACUCAUUUACUGUGCUCACUGUUCAGAUAUCUGCGAGAGGUAGCAGGCCUCCCCCCAACCUUAGUCAAUUAGACAAGCUAUUGUUUCUGAUUAAGAUAUCACAUCCCGGAGAAUAAUAGCAAUUAGAGUU
rnacentral:lncRNA from 10 species